AGCUUGGUCGGUAAAGCAUGAGACUCUUAAUCUCAGGGUUGUGGGUUCGUGCCCCAU
rnacentral:tRNA from 1 species